CGUCGACCACGUUUUUGUUGUUAUGCGUUUUUUGAACAAUAUCAAUAUUUAACGAAAAAAAGAAGCAAAGAAGAAGGAAACUACAAGGAAAGAAGGUUGGCAAGUGCACGUUGUCUGUACCUAUUCGAUAUGACACGUGUUUUAUCAUGGUUGGUUCGUUUUUCUACGCGUGGAGAGAUUCUUGUAUUUCAGUAUCCAGGGCUCUUAUACGCUGCUAC